rnacentral:rRNA from 1 species
GACGAACGCUGGCGGCGUGCUUAACACAUGCAAGUCGAACGGUGAAGCGCCUUCCUUUUUGGUGGGUGUGGAUGAGUGGCGAACGGGUGAGUAACACGUUAGUAACCUGCCCCCUUCUUCUGGAUAACCGCAUGAAAGUGUGGCUAAUACGGGAUAUUCUGGGUCUGUCGCAUGAUGGGUCUGGGAAAGAUAUUGUUUCGGUGGGGGAUGGGCUCGCGGCCUAUCAGCUUGUUGGUGGGGUGAUGGCCUACCAAGGCGGUGACGGGUAGCCGGCCUGAGAGGGUGGACGGCAAGACUGGUACUGAGACACGGCCCAGACUCCGACGGGAGGCAGCAGUGGGGAAUAUGGCACAAUGGGCGGAAGCCUGAUGCAGCGACGCCGCGGGAGGGAUGGAGGCCUUCGGGUUGUGAACCUCUUUCGCCAGUGAAGCAGGCCUGCCUCGUUUGUGGGUGGGUUGACGGUAGCUGGAGAAGAAGCGCCGGCUAACUACGUG